GGCUCGAUGGUGAAAGGGACGAUCACACCUGUCUUCUAAACAGGUUUUCCAGGUUCGAAUCCUGGUCGGGCUG
rnacentral:tRNA from 1 species